AUCCAGUUGACAAGUCCCAAAUAGGACGAAACGCGCGUCCUGGAU
rfam:Schistosoma mansoni strain Puerto Rico chromosome W, complete genome